AUCUCAUCUCUCCCUCUCUCUCUCUCCCUCUCCCUCUCUUAGAAAAAAAAGAUAACAGAGAGAGAGAGAGAUAAAAG
rnacentral:precursor_RNA from 1 species